ensembl:rRNA 5S_rRNA 5S ribosomal RNA
GUCUACGGCUAUACCACCCUGAAUGCACUUGAUCUCAUCUGCUCUCUGACCAAGCAGGACUGGUUAAUGCUUAGAUAGGAGACUGCCUGGGAAUACUGGAUGCUGUAGGUA